GAUGUGAGGAAACGCCCAUGGGUUCUCACAAGGCCACUGAAAAGGCACUGGACCCCAAUGCCUUACAAGCCACGUGUUCUCACCUGCACAGGCUCCAGGGUCCUAGAAGUAUCCUGGGCGGUUAGCUCUAGGAGGGGAGCAGCGAGAUGCACUUCGUGCUUGUGAGACAUAGGAGCCAAUCCCUGAGUCAGAAUAUGAAAAAUCAGCCUCCUCUGACCACCAGGGUAACUAUCCACUAAUAACAACAAAGAACCAACAGGGCCUAAGGCACAUCUCUCUGGAAGCUGUCCCCAUCACUCUCAAGAGGGCUAUAAGAGUGCUGCACAUUAACCAGGGGUUCUCACCCCAGCUAAAAUGGGAUUGACUGUGCAAGCUGCCUGGUUCUUGAAGCACAGAGCUGUCUUUCUCAGAUUAUGGACAAACAGGAAAAUGAAG